rnacentral:tRNA from 1 species
GGCCGAUUAGUUUAACUGGUAAAAUUGCGGCUUUGUAACCCGCAGACGUUGAGUUCAAGCCUCACAUCGGCCUCCA